rnacentral:rRNA from 1 species
UACAGAGGUCCCAAGCGUUGUUCGGAUUCACUGGGCGUAAAGGGUGCGUAGGUGGUCGGGUAAGUCUGAUGUGAAAUCUCCGAGCUUAACUCGGAAACUGCAUCGGAUACUAUUCGGCUGGAGGGUUGGAGGGGGGACUGGAAUACUUGGUGUAGCAGUGAAAUGCGUAGAUAUCAAGUGGAACACCAGUGGCGAAGGCGAGUCCCUGGACAACUCCUGACACUGAGGCACGAAAGCUAGGGGAGCAAACAGG